rnacentral:rRNA from 1 species
UGGGGAAUUUUGGACAAUGGGCGCAAGCCUGAUCCAGCCAUGCCGCGUGAGUGAAGAAGGCCUUCGGUUUGUAAAGCUCUUUCAGACGGAAAGAAAUCUCUUGGGCGAAUACCCUGGGAGGAUGACGGUACCGUAAGAAGAAGCACCGGCUAACUACUUGCCAGCAGCCGCGGUAAUACGUAGGGUCCGAGCGUUAAUCGGAAUUACUGGGCUUAAAGCGUGCGCAGGCGGUGAUGUAAGACAGAUGUGAAAUCCCCGGGCUCAACCUGGGAACUGCGUUUGUGAAUGCAUCAGUAGAGUACGGCAGAGGGAGGUGGAAUUCAGCGUGUAGAAGUGAAAUGCGUAGAUAUGCGGAGGAAAACCGAUGGCGAAGGAAGCCUCCUGGGCCAGUACUGACGAUCAUGCACGAAAGCGUGGGGAGCAAAAA